rnacentral:rRNA from 1 species
UACGUAGGGUGCAAGCGUUGUCCGGAAUUAUUGGGCGUAAAGAGCUCGUAGGCGGUUUGUUGCGUCGGCCGUGAAAACUGGAGGCUUAACCUUCAGCUUGCGGUCGAUACGGGCAGACUUGAGUUCGGUAGGGGAGACUGGAAUUCCAGGUGUAGCGGUGAAAUGCGUAGAUAUCUGGAGGAACACCGGUGGCGAAGGCGGCAUCCUGGACCGACACUGACGCUGAGGAGCGAAAGCCAGGGGAGCAAACGGG